CACAACACCUAGCCAGAAGAUAUUGUAACAGAAUAUUGUAGGGAGCCGUCCCUGCAUUCUCCAUUACAAGAUGGCGCCUGCAUCCGGCAGGCACCGAAUGUAAACAAGAUUAUUGCGCAGGCGCUGGGUAAUUUUCCAUUCCUUGAUCUCUGCCUAUUCCGUGGCGUCAUAUGGCCGGAUGAGCUACAGCCAAUCAUAGGGUGACACGUCCCAGGCGGCGGCUGCCAGCCUUUAUUAGGGGACAGGAUUCUUGGCUCAGUGUCUCCGGUCUGGUAAGCUUAUGCUCUCCUCUCAAGAUGCAUUAAAGCUUGUCUGCAGAAGGAUCCGAGUGUCCUGCGUAUGAUUUCUUGCUGGCGAGAAAUACAGAGAGCGCGCGGGACAUAUGGUGCCGAAACCCAGGAACAUGUGAACAUCUCCAGCACCGCACCGCGGAGACCCCUCUAACGAGGCGGAUUCAGAACUGCAGGGUGGUAAAUUCGGAGAGGAUGAAGAGAAUCCCCUGUGGAUCCCGAAAAGACUCACCCGAAGAGCCCCUUUGGACCCUCAAAAGUCGGAACUCCACCCUCUCCCCGGGAGUUGAGAGCCGCUAUUAUCCAGAUUAACUCCUGUCCUUGACGGAGAGAUUGUCAUCAUAGAUAGCUUCAGCUGUCUCCUAUUUUAAGGAAAUGGGUGGAGGUGGGAUUGUUUGGUGCAGCCGUUUGCUGCGGAUUGAUGUUGCUUCUCUGGCUGGUCUGUAGGCUCAGGGCUCAAACUAAGAGAGACAAGGUGGUUAUCGCCCAAGCGCUUGUAGCUUUGGAACAAGGGGCUUCCACUGAUAUUAGUUAACUAUGCUUAAGCAAUAGGCCGCUGGCCAGACAGCUCUUGCACACCCGGAGCCUAGGCUCAUUGCACAGGGUAGAGUGCCUGGCUUGAGCAGCCCAUGAGGGAUGUCGAGCAAGGCAUCGCACAGAGAGUUGCACAAUAUGCAGGCUUCUCUGGGAGGCAUGUUGUCCUGCAUAAGGGUUGCCUGCCCUAGUCUCCCUUUCCCAGAAAAACGGCAGAGGACAGGUCGAGAGCGCUUCGGGUCAAGCUAACAGCCUGAUGGCGACUCUUGUACACAGUCUUAAUAUUUGAUUGGGAAGGUACAACCUCUGCCUCUAUCCCUCAACAUUUGGGUGACCUAUUUGCUUGUAAAAAUAUAAAGCCUUAUCAUUAAUUAAUAAAAAAGGGGGAUCUGUAGGGAGCCGUCCCUGC
rnacentral:lncRNA from 1 species